CCUACGGGCGGCUGCAGUGGGGAAUAUUGGACAAUGGGCGAAAGCCUGAUCCAGCCAUGCCGCGUGUGUGAAGAAGGCCUUCGGGUUGUAAAGCACUUUCAGUGGGGAAGAAAGCCUUGGGGCUAAUACCCUCGAGGAAGGACAUCACCCACAGAAGAAGCACCGGCUAACUCCGUGCCAGCAGCCGCGGUAAUACGGAGGGUGGAGCGUUAAUCGGAAUUACUGGGCGUAAAGCGCGCGUAGGCGGUCUGAUAAGCCGGUUGUGAAAGCCCCGGGCUCAACCUGGGAACGGCAUCCGGAACUGUCAGGCUAGGGUGCAGGAGAGGAAGGUAGAAUUCCCGGUGUAGCGGUGAAAUGCGUAGAGAUCGGGAGGAAUACCAGUGGCGAAGGCGGCCUUCUGGACUGACACUGACGCUGAGGUGCGAAAGCGUGGGUAGCAAACAGGAUUAGAUACCCGGUAGUC
rnacentral:rRNA from 1 species